rnacentral:tRNA from 1 species
UGGGCUGUGGCUCAGUGGUAGAGUAUCUGCAGCAUGCUGAAUGUCCCAGAUUCAAUCCCUGGCAUGUCCAG